rnacentral:rRNA from 1 species
AACUGGCCGUCGUCAGUUCGUACUGUGAAGCAUCCUGUUAAGUCAGGCAACGAGCGAGACCCACGCCAACAGUUGCCAGCAUGUCCUCCGGGAUGAUGGGGACACUGUUGGGACCGCUCUGCUAAAGAGGAGGAAGGAAUGGGCAACGGUAGGUCAGCAUGCCCCGAAUUAUCCGGGCUACACGCGGGCUACAAUGGUCAGGACAAUGGGUAUCGACACCGAGAGGUGGAGGCAAUCUCCUAAACCUGUCCUUAGUUCGGAUUGUGGGCUGCAACUCGCCCACAUGAAGCUGGAAUCCGUAGUAAUCGCGUUUCAAAAUAGCGCGGUGAAUAUGUCCCUGCUCCUU